UCAUCACUAACACUGAGCCGCCUCUAUCUCUAUGUUUCUCACAUUUGCAACUUUCCCCUUCUUCGUGUCUAUCAAGUAGCAGCUCCCUUCUUUCUCUUCGUUCUCUCUAUUGUUGGUAAGCUUUGUUAAUUUUAAACUUCUUAAUUGGUUUCAGUUUGAUUUUUUAGAUAUUCUAAACCUUGAACCCACGACUCUUUGCUCAUCAUCGACGAGACCUCCAUUGAAAAGAUCUUAAGUCUCUGCCUAUAUUUCGCUGCAGCAAGCCUCUCUCUUCACAUUAGUUUAAGCUCAAUUCGAUUUCCCUCUCUUCAGCCCCAAUGAUUUUGGAAAAAAUGAAGAACAACCUAUCUACACACAGCACUUGCCAUAUGGAACAACUCUUGAAGACAUCAAGAAAAUGAUUUAAUUAGAAGGCUCUUCGCCAAAACCAUCAUCAAGAUUGUUCUUCAGCUUUAUGUUGCAAUCAUGUCUUUCAUCAAGCAAUCAAGCAUUUCAAGAUAGGAGGAGACAAUUUAGAUAUGAAAAAAAAGAAAAAGAAGGGAAAGAAAUUUUUUUCUUCCCAAAAUGUGUUUCAGUUUUGUAAAAUAGAGUUAUGUUAGGAUAUUAAUCAAUAUUGGUGUCAGAUUUGUAAUUGAAAUUACAUUGAAAUAAAUUAAUGUAUAUUUUAUAAUUAAAUUUGGUCUGCUU